rnacentral:lncRNA from 10 species
AAAAGGCGGACGCACCCUGAUCAUCUGUCCUGUGACGGGCUCAGCCAUUGGAUCGCGAAUCUGCGUUCGCGCAUGCGUGGUCCUAGAGCUACGGUGACACUUCGCGUGCGGUGUAGGCGCAUCUUCGCUCUGUUGGCCGUGGCUUUAGUAAGCACACACCUGCCUGCUACUCUGGUUAUCGUGGCGACGGCAGGUCUGGAUUGCCAGACAGGUUUUUCUUUUUACCUCGAGGCUUUCUCUGAAGGGAGUCGGAGCAUUUAAAAGGCGGCCUCAAGGUGGAUUGAGUCGGGGGAGGAUUAGCAGUAUUUGCUUAGGUUGUAAAACCGCGACUUUAUCUAAUAAAUCGCCAUUCAAGGUGCAAAUACAAACUUGGAACAGAGAUAAUCUGCCUCUGAAACCUUCCGUGGGCACAGAAAUUUCUGCAAGGAAAGCAUCAGCAACCAGAAUAAUUUGAUUGCAUUUGGGUUUAAACAGAGGACUUAAUCAUAGCAUGGACAGAAAAGGCUCACCAUCUAUCUAAAUGACUCUGAUUGCACCAUCAUCCUCAUUGUUCUUGUGGAGUCUCGCUCUGUCGCCCAGGCUGGGGUGGAGUGACGCGAUCUCGGCUCACCGCAAGCUCCGCCUCCCGGGUUCACGCCAUUCUCCUGUCUCAGCCUCCCCAGUAGCUGGGACUACAGGCGUCCACCACCACGCCCGGCUAAUUUUUUGUACUUUUAGUAGAGACGGGUUUCACCGUGUCAGCCAGGAUGGUCUCGAUCUCCUGACCUCGUGAUCUGCCCGCCUCAGCCUCCC